UCUGUCACCCACGACCCAAGUACUGGCCACGCAGACACGUACAUGCCCGAACGGCGCUUGGCUGGACAAAGACGGAAAGUUCAUCAAACACGAAGCCUUCAUCCCCUUUCUGAUAGGUCGCCGGCAGUGCCUCGGACAGCAGCUGGCCAACAUGGAGCUCUUCCUGUUCAUCUCGCUGCUUCUGCAGCGAUUUACUUUUAAAGUGCCACCUGGCGAGGACAAAGUGGAGGCCAAGGCGCGAUAUGGAGUCACCCGGGCUCCCGAACCUUACAGACUGGUCGUGGAACGCAGAGAGCAAAGUCUGGGGGAGAACAAUGAGUAGCAGCUUGAGGAACAUGGCACACAAGAAGUUACACAAGCGGCACGUUUAUCGCUUAAACAUGCGGGUUAGGUGCGUAGAUUGCUACCAAAAUGGGAAACGGCAUCGUUAAAACAAACGCGAAUAUUAAGUAUAGGAAGAAAUACUAUAUAGGUCUAUUGUCACUGUGCUUUCUUGGUUGCAGCUCAGCUGUAAUGUGUGCUUGUGUCAUCGGUUCUGCUAUUACACAAUACAGAAAUGUCCAAAAGUUUCAAGAAUAGCACAACAAAUUUAUUGUGACGGUA